rnacentral:rRNA from 1 species
UACAGGGGGGGCAAGCGUUGUUCGGAAUUACUGGGCGUAAAGGGUCUGUAGGUGGCUUGCUAAGUCAGACGUGAAAUCCCUCGGCUCAACCGAGGAACUGCGUCUGAUACUGGAAGGCUUGAAUCCGGGAGAGGGAUGUGGAAUUCCAGGUGUAGCGGUGAAAUGCGUAGAUAUCUGGAGGAACACCGGUGGCGAAGGCGACAUCCUGGACCGGUAUUGACGCUGAGGCGCGAAAGCCAGGGGAGCAAACGGG